rnacentral:rRNA from 1 species
UUUACCAAAAACAUCGCCUCUUGUCACACAUAAGAGGUCCUGCCUGCCCAGUGACCCUGUUCAACGGCCGCGGUAUCCUAACCGUGCGAAGGUAGCGUAAUCACUUGCUCUUUAAAUGAGGACUAGUAUGAAUGGCGCCACGAAGAUUUUUCUGUCUCCUUUUUCUUAUCAGUGAAACUAAUCUUCCCGUGAAGAAGCGGGGAUAAAAACAUAAGACGAGAAGACCCUAUGGAGCUUUAAACUAGUAACACCCGCUGCCACAAAUACCCUAAAAACAUUAAGCAGCCACCCUGAUUACAAGUUUUAGGUUGGGGCGACCUAGGAGUAUAAAACAACCUCCAAAUAGUACGAACCUACAGUCCUGAGCAAAAAGCUUCAACUUUAUGCACCAAUAAAUUGACUCACAUUGACCCAAUAUCUUGAUCAACGAACCAAGUUACCCUAGGGAUAACAGCGCAUCCACUUUAAGAGCUCAUAUCGACAAGUGGGAUUACGACCUCGAUGUUGGAUCAGGGUAUCCCAGUGGUGCAGCCGCUACUAAAGGUUUUGUUUGUUCAACGAUAAAAACC